GGAUUAGAUACCCUGGUAGUCCACGCUGUAAACGAUGUCUAUUAGGGGUCUGUGCCCUUGAGGCGUGGGUUCCAAAGCUAACGCAUUAAAUAGACCGCCUGGGGAGUACGGCCGCAAGGUUAAAACUCAAAUGAAUUGACGGGGGCCCGCACAAGCGGUGGAGCAUGUGGUUUAAUUCGAUGCAACGCGAAGAACCUUACCAUCCCUUGACAUCCUGAGAAGUUAGCAGAGAUGCUUUCGUGCCUUCGGGAACUCAGUGACAGGUGCUGCAUGGCUGUCGUCAGCUCGUGCCG
rnacentral:rRNA from 1 species